CUAUGGACGUGAGUUCAUGGCGGAAGGAG
rnacentral:ncRNA from 1 species